GUGGCUCCCGCCCCCAGACUGCUUCUUUAUUCAUUCCUAACCUUUACCUUGGCAGAUGAAAUAUAAGAUUCAUCAACCACAUUUGACAGCCCAUGGCAGGUUUCCUGUUUUCCAUCGUCCCUCUGCAGGUCACAGACACACAGAGCCCAGCCGUGGCAGGCUCAGCCAGGGUCCGGGGCUGCUAACAACGGCUACGUUCCUCCCCCAGCCAAGGGAAAUCCUGAGCGCAGGCCAGGGUUGUUUGGUUUUGAGGUGUGCUGGGAUGAAAGGCACCCCGGAAGUGGAAGUGACUGCCACAAAGGCAUCAGAUAUUCACCACCUUCUCGGCUGCCUCAGCACAGCAAGCUUUAUUCUGGGACCCGAGAUCCUGUUCUGAGCUGGCUUUCCCUUCUCCAGGCUCGCUCACCCUCCCUUUAGAGGUGGGGCUUAUUAGGGGUGGAAAAAGGUAAAUGAACAAUGGAAAAACUUCACGGCAAGAUUAGAAAGAUACCUGAGCCUAAUACCCGCCUGAUGUCGUGGGCCACACCUCCGGGUUACCAGGGGAAGGGAGGAAGCAAACUGUCAUAU
rnacentral:sRNA from 1 species